AUACGGAGGGGACAAGCGUUAUUCGGAAUCACUGGGCGUAAAGGACGCGUAGGCGGGUUAUUAAGUCGGGUGUGAAAUCCAAUGGCUCAACCAUUGAACUGCAUUCGAAACUGAUAACCUAGAGUAUGGAAGGGGCAGGUGGAAUUAGUGGUGUAGGGGUAAAAUCCGUAGAUAUCACUAGGAAUACCGAAAGCGAAGGCGACCUGCUGGGACAUUGCUGACGCUGAGGCGUGAAAGCGUGGGGAGCAAACAGGAUUAGAAACCCUAGUAGUCC
rnacentral:rRNA from 1 species